rnacentral:rRNA from 1 species
CCCAGACUCCUACGGGAGGCAGCAGUGGGGGAUAUUGCACAAUGGGGGAAACCCUGAUGCAGCGACGCCGCGUGGGUGAAGAAGCGCCUCGGCGCGUAAAGCCCUGUCAGCAGGGAAGAAAAUGACGGUACCUGAAGAAGAAGCCCCGGCUAACUACGUGCCAGCAGCCGCGGUAAUACGUAGGGAGCAAGCGUUGUCCGGAAUUACUGGGUGUAAAGGGAGCGUAGGCGGGGAUGCAAGUUGGGUGUCAAAACUACCGGCCCAACCGAUAGUCGCACUCAAAACUGCAGCUCUUGAGUGAAGUAGAGGCAGGCGGAAUUCCUAGUGUAGCGGUGAAAUGCGUAGAUAUUAGGAGGAACACCAGUGGCGAAGGCGGCCUGCUGGGCUUUUACUGACACUGAUGCACGAAAGCGUGGGGAUCGAACAGGAUUAGAUACCCGGGUA